UACGGGGGGGAGCAAGCGUUGUUCGGAUUUACUGGGCGUAAAGGGCGCGUAGGCGGCGUGACAAGUCACUUGUGAAAUCUCCGGGCUUAACCCGGAGCGGUCAAGUGAUACUGUCGUGCUAGAGUGCAGAAGGGGCAACUGGAAUUCUCGGUGUAGCGGUGAAAUGCGUAGAUAUCGAGAGGAACACCUGCGGCGAAGGCGGGUUGCUGGGCUGACACUGACGCUGAGGCGCGAAAGCUAGGGGAGCGAACGGG
rnacentral:rRNA from 1 species